ACCGUAGGGGGCGAGCGUGGUCCGGAAUUACUGGGCGUAAAGGGCGUGUAGGCGGCAUAGUAAGUCCGUAGUGAAACCCGACAGCUCAACUGUCGGCUGGCUAAGGAAACUGCUAAGCUUGAGUGCAGAAGAGGGGAGUGGAAUUCCCAGUGUAGCGGUGAAAUGCGUAGAUAUUGGGAGGAACACCAGUGGCGAAAGCGGCUCCCUGGCCUGUAACUGACGCUGAGGCGCGAAAGCGGGGGUAGCACACAGGCGGCGAUAACCGCGUAGUCC
rnacentral:rRNA from 1 species